UACGUAGGGCGCAAGCGUUGUCCGGAAUUAUUGGGCGUAAAGAGCUCGUAGGCGGCUUGUCACGUCGGGUGUGAAAGCCCGGGGCUUAACCCCGGGUCUGCAUUCGAUACGGGCUAGCUAGAGUGUGGUAGGGGAGAUCGGAAUUCCUGGUGUAGCGGUGAAAUGCGCAGAUAUCUGGAGGAACACCGGUGGCGAAGGCGGCAUUCUGGACCGAUAUUGACGCUGAGGAGCGAAAGCCAGGGGAGCAAACGGG
rnacentral:rRNA from 1 species